rnacentral:rRNA from 1 species
AUGGCAGGACUGGAUUUGGGAACCAACUCCUACCUCCACCAUCACCAGCAGCUUCACCUCCGUCACGAUGACGGUGCCGGAGGAUCCGACGACGGCCAGGACGCGCUCUCGCCGGGCGGCGUGGGAGGGAGCACAGCCGCAGGGGCUGGGAUAGGCGGCAGCGAGGUCGUGGGGCGCCGCCCACGCGGCCGGCCGCCCGGAUCCAAGAACAAGCCCAAGCCGCCAGUGAUCAUCACAAGGGAGAGCGCCAACGCGCUCAGGGCGCACAUCCUCGAGGUUGCCGCGGGGUGCGACGUCUUCGAGGCGCUUACCGCCUAUGCGCGUCGUCGGCAGCGCGGCGUCUGUGUACUAUCCGCGGCGGGGACCGUCACGAACGUGACUCUCCGGCAGCCACAGUCUGCCCAGAGUGGGCCAGCUUCGCCGGCGGUGGCCACGCUCCAUGGAAGGUUCGAGAUACUGUCCCUUGCCGGCUCUUUACUCCCGCCUCCGGCGCCUCCAGGGGCCACCAGCCUCUCGGCCUUCCUAGCAGGAGGGCAGGGUCAGGUGGUUGGUGGGAGCGUUGCCGGUGCGCUCGUCGCGGCCGGGCCGGUGGUCGUCGUUGCCUCGUCGUUCAGCAACGUGGCGUACGAGAGACUGCCGCUGGAGGACGGCGACGAGGUGGUGCCUACACCGCCACCUGCGGGGAGCGACCAGGCCGGCGGUGGCAUGCCGUUCGGUGUUGAUCCGUCGGGGGGCUCGGCAGGAGCUGGCCUCCCGUUCUUCAACCUGCCGAUGGGCAUGCCGCCAAUGCCCGUGGCCGGGCAUAACGGCUGGCCGGGCGCUGCCGGUGGCGUCGAGAGGCCACCGUUCUCGUGA